ensembl:lncRNA
GAACACUGUGCAUCAUUCAGAGGUAAUCUACACAGUCUGAAAAAACCUUUGCAGCUCAUAUUGGAGUAAUAACCAUGAAAAAUGGGAUUUCCUGGGAAUUCAUUACCAGUUAGGAUCCCCUCAGUAAGACGCAAAGCUUCAUUUUGCUGUGACCAUCAGACCUGAGAAGCAGCUCGACAGAGAAACAAAAAAGUAAACACUUCAUGGAAAUCAUUGUUAGGUUGUGAAGUUUAAGUGAGAUGCCAGGUAUGAAUCUGUAGUUCAAAUCGAUGUCUUCCGUUGCAUGAGAAAGAAGGAACCGGAGGCAAUCCCUAAACAAAGGUCAAGUGCUUCUUCUUCCUACCACGUCUUUAAGCUUUUGAUUGGAAAGAAGCAUGCCUGCUUUCUUUUCACUAAAUCUGUGGAAAACCUAGCCACGUCUUUUCUUGAUAAUAUAGUUUGAAUUUGCUUUUCCUAGAAUAGAAAAUAGAUUGAAAGGGAUGAUGUAAUUUCUUUAUCAAAUUACUUUACGUCUUUAUUUUCUUUUUUGUCUAAAGUCUUCUGCCCUUUCCAAGCACGCUGUUAUGCAAGAUCUGCU